rnacentral:rRNA from 1 species
UACGUAGGGUGCGAGCGUUAAUCGGAAUUACUGGGCGUAAAGCGUGCGCAGGCGGUUUUGUAAGACAGGUGUGAAAUCCCCGGGCUCAACCUGGGAAUGGCAUUUGGGACUGCAAGGCUGGAGUGCGGCAGAGGAGACUGGAAUUCCUGGUGUAGCAGUGAAAUGCGUAGAUAUCAGGAGGAAUACCGAUGGCGAAGGCAGGUCUCUGGGCUGACACUGACGCUCAUGCACGAAAGCGUGGGGAGCAAACAGG